rnacentral:rRNA from 1 species
AGCAGCAGCCAUAUCACCCUGUAGCUCACCGCGGGCAACACCCUGAAGCUCAGCAGGUGUGAGCCUGGCCAGUCCCUGGAUGGGAGACCUCCUGGGAAAUCUAAGGUAGCUACUGGAA